UAAUAAUACGGGUGUUAGAUUCAUGGGGAUCCCAUUAGUACUCGAGGAACAAGAAAGAAAACUAUCCGUUAACAGCCUAGAAAUAUCAAAUCGACAUCACAAUCCUUUUCCCUGCAGGAAAAUAGUAACGUUAAAAAACAACCCGUCUGUUACACUUCCACUUCAUUGAUUUUGAUUUACAGUACACGAAAUAAUUCCUUGAUCUUUCAAGUUCCUCUUUUCUUUGCCUGUUAAAUUCUGUAACAACACUGGAGUUCCACGGUGGAGACAAAGUAGAAGUAUGUAGCGAAGAGGAAGGAUUUCUUGGAUCAUAUUAUGCAGCGACAACGGUCAAGAACUUAGUGGAAGAGGAAGACAUGUCAAAGCAUCUGAUAGAGACACACCGCAAGCCCAGCGCUAAAACACACCGCUGGAGCACUCUGCUCAACGGCCUUAACCUGCGCACCCACCCAACACCUAAACCAUUAACUCGCCCGCUCGCCCGCUCAAACCCAGUCCUCCUCAUCUUCUUCUUCUUCAAGCCAAACCCCUUUCUAGUCGAUGGAGUGACAAUUUCUAAGAAAACUCCGCUAAUGGUGCUGCUCUUUAAUCUCUUUGAUAGAAGGCGGAUGAUUCUGUAAUUUCAGGAUGUAUAUAAAGCAGGCAUUUAACCUGCUUGCUUAGUUCUCUUCAUUGUGCAACCAACAAUAGGCAGGAGAACCAAAAUCAUAUCGGAUCUGCUGAUAUCUGUUUCAAAAGAAUAGAGACAAGCCAGGAUUAAAGUUCACCAAGAUUCCUUAAGACUUGAUUUCAACUUGUUAGUUAAUAGCAUUUGCAUAUGGCUUUAGCUGGAAUCUUGAUACUGGCAUUUUUUUUUUCAGGCAUUUAACCUGCUUGCUUAGUUCUCUUCAUUGUGCAACCAACAAUAGGCAGGAGAACCAAAAUCAUAUCGGAUCUGCUGAUAUCUGUUUCAAAAGAAUAGAGACAAGCCAGGAUUAAAGUUCACCAAGAUUCCUUAAGACUUGGUAGUGUGGGUGUUAUCGGGUAUACUCACAUCUUUUUAAGCUUGUCCUGAAUGUGCUUGAACGAUCUCUCUUGGUGUUCUUUGUGAGUGAUAAAAGUAGAGAUAAAAGAUAUUGAUAAAAAAGACCACCAAAUUAGAUAAUCCAGGCUGCAAGUUUUGGAUUGUAUAACAUGCAUGAUGCGUUGAAGAAAUAACAAAAAAAGUAAAAGGAUUGGUGAAUCCAAUGUAUAUCUUGACAACUUCCUAUUCAAUGGAACAAUGCAAACUGCUUCUUGGCUGGCUUUUUUACCUCUUGCUCAGCUCUUUUUGGCUGGCUUUCCCCCCCUUCUAUUCAGCUUAUGUUGGUGGGCUUGGGCAAGGAGCAUGCUUAUAUUUUUUUUCUUGUGUUAAUUUCCCUUCAUUCGGCAUAGGACAUUAUGUUUUUUGGUUUGGGUUUCAUUUGCUGGGGCUGGGAUUGGGGCUGCUAGCUAUUGGGUUAAGCUCAUCUUCUCCUUUGUUUAUGUGAAUUUUUUGUGUCUCUCUCUCCUUGUUUUCCUGCACUCCUCUUCUCUUUCUCCAUCGAAGCCACCAAGAACUGAGUUGUUAGGGUAAGGUGGGAUUGCUUUUGUGUCUUUAUUUGCCUUGCAAUGAUGGCGUGACUUAUCAGCCUUCUUUUUCUUUCCUUUUGUCUUGGUUUUGGCUUGCUGUUUUUGGGGGAUUUGGUGCUGAUC